rnacentral:rRNA from 1 species
UGCUGCUUUGCUGACGAGUGGCGGACGGGUGAGUAAUGUCUGGGAAACUGCCUGAUGGAGGGGGAUAACUACUGGAAACGGUGGCUAAUACCGCAUAACGUCGCAAGACCAAAGAGGGGGACCUUCGGGCCUCUUGCCAUCAGAUGUGCCCAGAUGGGAUUAGCUUGUUGGUGAGGUAACGGCUCACCAAGGCGACGAUCCCUAGCUGGUCUGAGAGGAUGACCAGCCACACUGGAACUGAGACACGGUCCAGACUCCUACGGGAGGCAGCAGUGGGGAAUAUUGCACAAUGGGCGCAAGCCUGAUGCAGCCAUGCCGCGUGUAUGAAGAAGGCCUUCGGGUUGUAAAGUACUUUCAGCGGGGAGGAAGGUGUUGUGGUUAAUAACCGCAGCAAUUGACGUUACCCGCAGAAGAAGCACCGGCUAACUCCGUGCCAGCAGCCGCGGUAAUACGGAGGGUGCAAGCGUUAAUCGGAAUUACUGGGCGUAAAGCGCACGCAGGCGGUCUGUCAAGUCGGAUGUGAAAUCCCCGGGCUCAACCUGGGAACUGCAUUCGAAACUGGCAGGCUUGAGUCUUGUAGAGGGGGGUAGAAUUCCAGGUGUAGCGGUGAAAUGCGUAGAGAUCUGGAGGAAUACCGGUGGCGAAGGCGGCCCCCUGGACAAAGACUGACGCUCAGGUGCGAAAGCGUGGGGAGCAAACAGGAUUAGAUACCCUGGUAGUCCACGCCGUAAACGAUGUCUACUUGGAGGUUGUGCCCUUGAGGCGUGGCUUCCGGAGCUAACGCGUUAAGUAGACCGCCUGGGGAGUACGGCCGCAAGGUUAAAACUCAAAUGAAUUGACGGGGGCCCGCACAAGCGGUGGAGCAUGUGGUUUAAUUCGAUGCAACGCGAAGAACCUUACCUGGUCUUGACAUCCACGGAAGAAUUCAGAGAUGGAUUUGUGCCUUCGGGAACCGUGAGACAGGUGCUGCAUGGCUGUCGUCAGCUCGUGUUGUGAAAUGUUGGGUUAAGUCCCGCAACGAGCGCAACCCUUAUCCUUUGUUGCCAGCGGUCCGGCCGGGAACUCAAAGGAGACUGCCAGUGAUAAACUGGAGGAAGGUGGGGAUGACGUCAAGUCAUCAUGGCCCUUACGACCAGGGCUACACACGUGCUACAAUGGCGCAUACAAAGAGAAGCGACCUCGCGAGAGCAAGCGGACCUCAUAAAGUGCGUCGUAGUCCGGAUUGGAGUCUGCAACUCGACUCCAUGAAGUCGGAAUCGCUAGUAAUCGUGGAUCAGAAUGCCACGGUGAAUACGUUCCCGGGCCUUGUACACACCGCCCGUCACACCAUGGGAGUGGGUUGCAAAAGAAGUAGGUAGCUUAACCUUCGGGAGGGCGCUUACCACUUUGUGAUUCAUGACUGGGGUGAAGUCGUAACAAGGUAACCGUAGGGGAACCUGC